AUGAACAACAUAAAUUUAACCUGUAUAACCUCAGAAUAUGGCGUGAGGGUCUCUACCAGGAACCAUAAAGUCCUGACUACAGAAAAUGAACCUUUUUCA
rfam:Bacillus sp. FJAT-27916 Scaffold1, whole genome shotgun sequence.